rnacentral:tRNA from 1 species
GGGCCCGUAGCUCAGCCAGGUUAGAGCGACCGGCUCAUAACCGGUUGGUCGUGGGUUCAAAUCCCACCGGGCCCA